ACAAGUGGGGAGCGGGAAGUGCCUGCCUGGUCCGAAUGCAGGGAGUCCGAGGUCGCGGUGCCACCUCCCUGUGAGGGUUUCCAGGAUAGUGUUACUGUGCUCUUAUAAGAAGGAGGAAUGUGGAAGAGAUCCUGCAGAGACAGAAAUCAGAUAACUUACAGAUUCUUGAAAAGAACAUUUUCUCAUCUGCAUGCAGAGACAUGAUCUCAUCGCCCAGACAGGAGUGCGGAGGCAUGACUGCAGCUGACCGUAACCUCGAGCUCCUGGGCUCAAGUGAGCCUCCCAUCUCAGUGUUGCAAGUAGCUGGGACUACUGGUGUGUUACCACACUCCGCUAAUUUUUUUAAAGUUAUUUUUUAUAGAGACAGGAUCUUACUAUGUUGCCCAGCUGGUCUCAAACUCCUGGUGUCAAGCAACCCUCCUGCCUUGGCCUCCCAAAGUGCUGGGAUUACAGACGUGAGCCACCAUGCCUGGCUCAUUUCUGUCAUAUGUUUACAAACAUGCCCAUUUUCUGAACCCUCCAAUCUGUAUCACUGGGGUAAGGCAGGAUGGGGAGCUCUCAUAGAACAAAAGCAAAACCCAAGGAACUUCAGGAUAGCUACCACCUUUGCCAAGGAUUGAGCCACCUCAAUCAUAUAUCACCUGAUUUUGAAAUCUUUGAGCUUUUCUGCAUUCAGUUUGGCUGUUAAGAAAUCUGGAAGUUUUCGGCCCAACUGGUGAAAACUGUACAACAAACAUUCCACAUAACUGAACUGUAGCUUGGGUUCUUCAUUACCAGCAUUCUCUCC
ensembl:lncRNA novel transcript, antisense to API5 and TTC17